UGGGGAAUAUUGGACAAUGGGCGCAAGCCUGAUCCAGCCAUGCCGCGUGAGUGACGAAGGCCUUAGGGUUGUAAAGCUCUUUUGGCGGGGACGAUAAUGACGGUACCCGCAGAAUAAGCCCCGGCUAACUUCGUGCCAGCAGCCGCGGUAAUACGAAGGGGGCUAGCGUUGUUCGGAAUUACUGGGCGUAAAGCGCACGUAGGCGGAUAUGCCAGUCAGGGGUGAAAUCCCGAGGCUCAACCUCGGAACUGCCUCCGAUACAGCAUGUCUCGAGUCCGGAAGAGGUGAGUGGAAUUCCUAGUGUAGAGGUGAAAUUCGUAGAUAUUAGGAAGAACACCAGUGGCGAAGGCGGCUCACUGGUCCGGUACUGACGCUGAGGUGCGAAAGCGUGGGGAGCAAACAGGAUUAGAUACCCCCGUAGUCCCUGAGCGGGCUGGCAAGGCGCAU
rnacentral:rRNA from 1 species